rnacentral:rRNA from 1 species
CCUACGGGGGGCAGCAGUGAGGAAUAUUGGUCAAUGGACGAGAGUCUGAACCAGCCAAGUAGCGUGAAGGAUGACUGCCCUAUGGGUUGUAAACUUCUUUUAUAUGGGAAUAAAACGUUCCACGUGUGGGAUUUUGUAUGUACCAUAUGAAUAAGGAUCGGCUAACUCCGUGCCAGCAGCCGCGGUAAUACGGAGGAUCCGAGCGUUAUCCGGAUUUAUUGGGUUUAAAGGGUGCGUAGGGGGAUUGUUAAGUCAGUUGUUAAAGUUUGCGGCUCAACCGUAAAAUUGCAGUUGAAACUGGCAGUCUAGAGUACAGUAGAGGUGGGCGGAAUACGUGGUGUAGCGGUGAAAUGCUUAGAUAUCACGAAGAACUCCGAUAGCGAAGGCAGUUCACUAGACUGCAACUGACACUGAGGCUCGAGAGUAUGGGUAUCAAACAGGAUUAGAUACCCGAGUAGUC